rnacentral:rRNA from 1 species
GAUGAACGCUGGCGGCGUGCCUAAUACAUGCAAGUCGAGCGAACAGACGAGGAGCUUGCUCCUCUGACGUUAGCGGCGGACGGGUGAGUAACACGUGGAUAACCUACCUAUAAGACUGGGAUAACUUCGGGAAACCGGAGCUAAUACCGGAUAAUAUAUUGAACCGCAUGGUUCAAUAGUGAAAGACGGCUUUGCUGUCACUUAUAGAUGGAUCCGCGCCGCAUUAGCUAGUUGGUAAGGUAACGGCUUACCAAGGCAACGAUGCGUAGCCGACCUGAGAGGGUGAUCAGCCACACUGGAACUGAGACACGGUCCAGACUCCUACGGGAGGCAGCAGUAGGGAAUCUUCCGCAAAGGGCGAAAGCCUGACGGAGCAACGCCGCGUGAGUGGUGAAGGUCUUCGGAUCGUAAAACUCUGUUAUUAGGGAAGAGCAAAUGUGUAAGUAACUAUGCACGUCUUGACGGUACCUAAUCAGAAAGCCACGGCUAACUACGUG